ACACACAUGCAUUAAGUACAGAGCAAACUAUUCUUUCACCUUUUACUAAAGAAUACAGUGUUUGUGGCACUUUAAGUGACAUACGCCAACCACUGCAAGUGGCCUAGUAGUUCUU